AUUGAACGCUGGCGGCAGGCCUAACACAUGCAAGUCGAGCGAGCGGCGGACGGGUGAGUAAUGUAUGGGGACUGCCCGAUAACGGGGGAUAACUACUGGACACGGUGGCUAAUACCGCAUACUAUCGGAUCACCCAUUUGGGAUUGGCUAGUAGGUGGGGUCAAGGCUCCCCUAUGCGACGAUCUCUAGCUGGUCUGAGAGGAUGAUCAGCAACACUGGGACUGAGACACGGCCGAGACUCCGACGGAGGAAGCAGUGGGGAAGAUUGCACAAUGGGCGAAAGCCUGAUGCAGCAAUGCCGCGUGUAUGAAGAAGGCCUUAGGUUGGUAAAGUACUUUCAGCGGGGAGGCGUUACCCGCAGAAGAAGCACCGGCUAACUCCGUGCCAGCAGCCGCGGUAAUAC
rnacentral:rRNA from 1 species